UAGAGUUUUGAUCAUGGCUCAGAUUGAACGCUGGCGGCAGGCCUAACACAUGCAAGUCGAGCGGUAGCACAGAGAGCUUGCUCUCGGGUGACGAGCGGCGGACGGGUGAGUAAUGUCUGGGAAACUGCCUGAUGGAGGGGGAUAACUACUGGAAACGGUAGCUAAUACCGCAUAACGUCGCAAGACCAAAGUGGGGGACCUUCGGGCCUCAUGCCAUCAGAUGUGCCCAGAUGGGAUUAGCUAGUAGGUGGGGUAAUGGCUCACCUAGGCGACGAUCCCUAGCUGGUCUGAGAGGAUGACCAGCCACACUGGAACUGAGACACGGUCCAGACUCCUACGGGAGGCAGCAGUGGGGAAUAUUGCACAAUGGGCGCAAGCCUGAUGCAGCCAUGCCGCGUGUAUGAAGAAGGCCUUCGGGUUGUAAAGUACUUUCAGCGAGGAGGAAGGCGUUAAGGUUAAUAACCUUNGCGANNGACGUUACUCGCAGAAGAAGCAGGGCUAA
rnacentral:rRNA from 1 species